UGGGAAAAAGUAAUUACUGGUUACAAAUUACGUUGAAGCAGAUUUGAAAUUUUCAUACUAAUUCAUAUGUAUACUUUUGCACUUUUCAGACAUUGAUUUUAUCUAAGAAUUAAAUUAGAGACUGGCCAGGUUCAAUUCUUAAGUCACUUUCUAGUUUGUCAUGUCUGAAGCUGGACAAUAAUCCUCUGAGACAGAUACCAUCAGAUGGUUUUGAAGCAGUGUCUAUGCUUCAGCUCCUGGAUCUCAAUGGUAAUGCAGCUUCAUUAGUUGAUGGUCCUUCAUUUUCUUGUUAGACACACCUUCAAGAGCUUUACCUGAGGAGAAUGCAGCUCGAUAAGUUCCCACAU